GCGGAGCUGGGUGGCGCGUCAGGACAACAUUCCUCGGGGCCGUACGAUCCCCAUGGGAGCUGUCCCUGCCCUAGCCCGUGGGCUUUGGCACACGGCGCCCACCUACUUACGUAGGCGCCCGGGAUCACCGUCCAACGGCCUUCUCGGCUCCGCG
rnacentral:other from 1 species